rnacentral:rRNA from 1 species
CGCAAGCCUGACGGAGCAACGCCGCGUGAGGGAGGAAGGCCUGUGGGUUGUAAACCUCUUUUUUAAAGGAAGAAGAAAGUGACGGUACUUUAAGAAUAAGCAUCGGCUAACUCCGUGCCAGCAGCCGCGGUAAUACGGAGGAUGCAAGCGUUAUCCGGAAUCAUUGGGCGUAAAGCGUCCGCAGGUGGCAAAUCAAGUCUGCUGUUAAAGACAGAAGCUUAACUUCUGAGCAGCAGUGGAAACUGGUUAGCUAGAGUAUGGUAGGGGUUGAGGGAAUUCCCAGUGUAGCGGUGAAAUGCGUAGAUAUUAGGAAGAACACCAGUGGCGAAGGCGCUCUACUGGGCCAUAACUGACACUGAUGGACGAAAGCUAGGGGAGCG